UUCAGCUAAUUGUUUUCUUUUUCAUCAUUUCAGCCAAGUGUUGAACUGCUUUUGCCAGUGGUGAAACCAGAGAACGUGAGAGCCCUGGUUCAGUCCUGGACCUUCUCAUGGAAGAUGACCUCAUCCCUCACAUGCCCAGAAGAACAGGUGAGUCCUGCUCACAAGUCUCCACGUGCAAAAUGCUGUGGCCAGGAUGGAGAAAAAGAGAAGCAACUCCAGCUUCAGUCAGACUGAUGAGAGGGACACCAGAAGACAACAAUGCAGAAAGCUUCUGUGAACAGUCCAUUUGUGCAACACUCAGAAGCCCUCACCAGGGUUUCUUGCUGGAGUUUUCCUGCCAAAAGAUCCUGCUCUUGUUUAUGUUUAUCAUACCUCUUCGAACAUCACGCAUGCCAAGAAACCAUGUACAACCUCCUCUGAACACUACAAAAGUUGAGGAAGUAUUUUGGAAAAUGAGGGAGAGGAAAGGGACAGAGAGAACUGAUUACAGUCACGGCGCACCUCUCACCCCUGCUCUCCCUCCCCUGCUCUGCCUGCCACCCGAGGCUGAAACUCUGCUGGCCUGGAGAGCUGAGACCCGCCGUGCCCACUCGUGAGUUACACCCCGUCCUUCUGCCCGUCCUGCGGGCCCAAAGAUGCUGCUGGACCGGGACCCUGCACGGCCUGGGACACUCAAUGUGAGCAGCAAGGCCACACAUCCAGGCUGCAUUCCAGGAAACCAAGCUGCUAAGACCCCCCCGCUGCAGCUAAGAGAUAACAUUGCAAAGCAUCAGAGACAGAGAAAAAAACAACUGCUUCUUCCCUGAUCCCCCCCUCGCCCCCUCCCAUCUCGGCUGAAAAGGUAGCUCAGUGGUUCCUUUCCUAUGCUUCUAAAAGUAAUCUUA